GGUUAUUGUCCAUGUACGCUGCACACCAUUUAUUCCUCAUCCAACUAGACAUGAGAUGUGAUCUCGAAGAGAAACCUUGGGCCACUUUUCUUGGUGGGUUCCAAUAAUUUUCUUUGGCUCCAUGCCACUCUUCAGGCCAACUGCUAUUUUCUUUGUCUGUAAAUUUCAUUGCUCCUCUCAAGAAACAUAGGCCACUCUCAAGUCUCAACCUCUAUCUUCUCUGUUUAAGUUGAUAACGGGGCUUACCAGUAAGGCUUGUUUUAUUUUUACCUUAGGAGCCGGAUUUUGCCUCAGAGAUUAUAUGAUCUCACCCAAAUCUUCUCAUCUUCUGCAUAAGACUGCAAUUGGGUCAUCAACAAUGCAAGUUAAAC
rnacentral:misc_RNA from 1 species